rnacentral:rRNA from 1 species
GACGAACGCUGGCGGCGUGCUUAACACAUGCAAGUCGAACGGAAAGGCCCUGCUUUUGUGGGGUGCUCGAGUGGCGAACGGGUGAGUAACACGUGAGUAACCUGCCCUUGACUUUGGGAUAACUUCAGGAAACUGGGGCUAAUACCGGAUAGGAGCUCCUGCUGCAUGGUGGGGGUUGGAAAGUUUCGGCGGUUGGGGAUGGACUCGCGGCUUAUCAGCUUGUUGGUGGGGUAGUGGCUUACCAAGGCUUUGACGGGUAGCCGGCCUGAGAGGGUGACCGGCCACAUUGGGACUGAGGUGCGGCCCAGACUCCUCCGGGAGGCAGCAGUGGGGAAUAUUGCACAAUGGGCGGAAGCCUGAUGCAGCAACGCCGCGUGCGGGAUGACGGCCUUCGGGUUGUAAACCGCUUUCGCCUGUGACGAAGCGUGAGUGACGGUAAUGGGUAAAGAAGCACCGGCUAACUACGUG